GACGAACGCUGGCGGCGUGCUUAACACAUGCAAGUCGAACGGAAAGGCCCUUCGGGGUACUCGAGUGGCGAACGGGUGAGUAACACGUGGGUGAUCUGCCCUGCACUUUGGGAUAAGCCUGGGAAACUGGGUCUAAUACCGAAUAGGACCGCGCUCUUCAUGGGGUGUGGUGGAAAGCUUUUGCGGUGUGGGAUGGGCCCGCGGCCUAUCAGCUUGUUGGUGGGGUAAUGGCCUACCAAGGCGACGACGGGUAGCCGGCCUGAGAGGGUGACCGGCCACACUGGGACUGAGAUACGGCCCAGACUCCUACGGGAGGCAGCAGUGGGGAAUAUUGCACAAUGGGCGCAAGCCUGAUGCAGCGACGCCGCGUGAGGGAUGACGGCCUUCGGGUUGUAAACCUCUUUCAGUACCGACGAAGCGCAAGUGACGGUAGGUACAGAAGAAGGACCGGCCAACUACGUGCCAGCAGCCGCGGUAAUACGUAGGGUCCGAGCGUUGUCCGGAAUUACUGGGGCGUAAGAGCUCGUAGGUGGUUUGUCGCGUUGUUCGUGAAAACUCACAGCUUAACUGUGGGCGUGCGGGCGAUACGGGCAGACUAGAGUACUGCAGGGGAGACUGGAAUUCCUGGUGUAGCGGUGGAAUGCGCAGAUAUCAGGAGGAACACCGGUGGCGAAGGCGGGUCUCUGGGCAGUAACUGACGCUGAGGAGCGAAAGCGUGGGGAGCGAACAGGAUUAGAUACCCUGGUAGUCCACGCCGUAAACGGUGGGUACUAGGUGUGGGUUUCCUUCCUUGGGAUCCGUGCCGUAGCUAACGCAUUAAGUACCCCGCCUGGGGAGUACGGCCGCAAGGCUAAAACUCAAAGGAAUUGACGGGGGCCCGCACAAGCGGCGGAGCAUGUGGAUUAAUUCGAUGCAACGCGAAGAACCUUACCUGGGUUUGACAUGCACAGGACGUGCCUAGAGAUAGGUAUUCCCUUGUGGCCUGUGUGCAGGUGGUGCAUGGCUGUCGUCAGCUCGUGUCGUGAGAUGUUGGGUUAAGUCCCGCAACGAGCGCAACCCUUGUCUCAUGUUGCCAGCACGUUAUGGUGGGGACUCGUGAGAGACUGCCGGGGUCAACUCGGAGGAAGGUGGGGAUGACGUCAAGUCAUCAUGCCCCUUAUGUCCAGGGCUUCACACAUGCUACAAUGGCCGGUACAAAGGGCUGCGAUGCCGUAAGGUGGAGCGAAUCCUUUCAAAGCCGGUCUCAGUUCGGAUCGGGGUCUGCAACUCGACCCCGUGAAGUCGGAGUCGCUAGUAAUCGCAGAUCAGCAACGCUGCGGUGAAUACGUUCCCGGGCCU
rnacentral:rRNA from 1 species